CGUAGGCGGCUUUAUAAGUCUGGAGUGAAAGUCCUCUUUUCAAGGGAGGAAUUGCUUUGGAAACUAUAGAGCUUGAGUGCAGGAGAGGUUAUCGGAAUUCCCGGUGUAGCGGUGAAAUGCGUAGAUAUCGGGAGGAACAUCGGUGGCGAAGGCGGGUAACUGGACUGCAACUGACGCUGAGGCGCGAAAGUGUGGGGAGGCAAACA
rnacentral:rRNA from 1 species